rnacentral:rRNA from 1 species
GACGAACGCUGGCGGCGUGCUCAACACAUGCAAGUCGAACGGAAAGGCCCUGCUUUUGUGGGGUGCUCGAGUGGCGAACGGGUGAGUAACACGUGAGUAACCUGCCCUUGACUUUGGGAUAACUUCAGGAAACUGGGGCUAAUACCGGAUAGGAGCUCCUGCUGCAUGGUGGGGGUUGGAAAGUUUCGGCGGUUGGGGAUGGACUCGCGGCUUAUCAGCUUGUUGGUGGGGUAGUGGCUUACCAAGGCUUUGACGGGUAGCCGGCCUGAGAGGGUGACCGGCCACAUUGGGACUGAGAUACGGCCCAGACUCCUACGGGAGGCAGCAGUGGGGAAUAUUGCACAAUGGGCGGAAGCCUGAUGCAGCAACGCCGCGUGCGGGAUGACGGCCUUCGGGUUGUAAACCGCUUUCGCCUGUGACGAAGCGUGAGUGACGGUAAUGGGUAAAGAAGCACCGGCUAACUACGUGCCAGCAGCCGCGGUGAUACGUAGGGUGCGAGCGUUGUCCGGAUUUAUUGGGCGUAAAGGGCUCGUAGGUGGUUGAUCGCGUCGGAAGUGUAAUCUUGGGGCUUAACCCUGAGCGUGCUUUCGAUACGGGUUGACUUGAGGAAGGUAGGGGAGAAUGGAAUUCCUGGUGGAGCGGUGGAAUGCGCAGAUAUCAGGAGGAACACCAGUGGCGAAGGCGGUUCUCUGGGCCUUUCCUGACGCUGAGGAGCGAAAGCGUGGGGAGCGAACAGGCUUAGAUACCCUGGUAGUCCACGCUGUAAACGGUGGGUACUAGGCGUGGGGUCCAUUCCACGGGUUCCGUGCCGUAGCUAACGCUUUAAGUACCCCGCCUGGGGAGUACGGCCGCAAGGCUAAAACUCAAAGGAAUUGACGGGGCCCCGCACAAGCGGCGGAGCAUGCGGAUUAAUUCGAUGCAACGCGUAGAACCUUACCUGGGUUUGACAUGGAUCGGGAGUGCUCAGAGAUGGGUGUGCCUCUUUUGGGGUCGGUUCACAGGUGGUGCAUGGCUGUCGUCAGCUCGUGUCGUGAGAUGUUGGGUUAAGUCCCGCAACGAGCGCAACCCUUGUUCACUGUUGCCAGCACGUUAUGGUGGGGACUCAGUGGAGACCGCCGGGGUCAACUCGGAGGAAGGUGGGGAUGACGUCAAGUCAUCAUGCCCCUUAUGUCCAGGGCUUCACGCAUGCUACAAUGGCUGGUACAGAGAGUGGCGAGCCUGUGAGGGUGAGCGAAUCUCGGAAAGCCGGUCUCAGUUCGGAUUGGGGUCUGCAACUCGACCUCAUGAAGUCGGAGUCGCUAGUAAUCGCAGAUCAGCAACGCUGCGGUGAAUACGUUCCCGGGGCU